rnacentral:rRNA from 1 species
AGGGUUCGAUUCUGGCUCAGAACGAACGCUGGCGGCAGGCCUAACACAUGCAAGUCGAGCGCGCCCUUCGGGGUGAGCGGCGGACGGGUUAGUAACGCGUGGGAACGUACCCUUUGGUAGGGAAUAGCCACUGGAAACGGUGAGUAAUACCCUAUGAGCCCUUCGGGGGAAAGAUUUAUCGCCAAAGGAUCGGCCCGCGUUAGAUUAGGUAGUUGGUGGGGUAAUGGCCUACCAAGCCUACGAUCUAUAGCUGGUUUUAGAGGAUGAUCAGCAACACUGGGACUGAGACACGGCCCAGACUCCUACGGGAGGCAGCAGUGGGGAAUCUUGGACAAUGGGGGCAACCCUGAAUCCAGCCAUGCCGCGUGAGUGAAGAAGGCCUUAGGGUCGUAAAGCUCUUUCGCCUGUGAAGAUAAUGACGGUAGCAGGUAAAGAAACCCCGGCUAACUCCGUGCCAGCCGCCGC